ACUGUGAGGAAAGGGAACAGCUGAGGAGCAGAGAGUUGACCCUAAUGACUUAUCCUUUCACCUGUGGUUGUGCACGCUACUAUGUUUGAAGGAGUUACCAGAGUAUUUGGAGCUAUGCUGUAAUCCAGACUGUUCUUGGGGGAUAUCCACCAUUACUGGACCCUAGCAAGCAGCUUCUGCCCAGAUUCUUAAGAGAGCUGGACCCGCUGCUGGCUCCUUCCGGGGUGCAGCAUGGAGCCAGGAAGCCUGCCUUAGCCCUGCUGUGCCACUGACUGGGAGCCACCAGAGAAGCUGUGUUGCCAGAAGAUGAAACUGACUUUUUACCUUGACACAGAGCUCACGGCCUCCGUAACCAGGAAGAUUUGGCUAUGUGGAGACACCAUGCCACCUUGCAAAUAUGUGGAGAGGAUGCAUACAGUGGGAAAAGAGACAUAAGAGAAGGUCACAGUGCUGUGCUUGAGGUUAUGAGAUGGACUCUUUGUUAUUCCAGCAGGAUUAGGCCUAUGCUCAUACGACAGAAAAGGACCACUGAGUGAGUUUCUAGCUCUAAAAAGAGGAUGCCAGAGAGAAGUCUAAAUGAAAACCUGCAAAGCUCUCCCCCCAAAAAGCAGACUUCAGUCUUGUUAGUUGUUUCAUGACAUAGCUCCCUACACAGUGGAACACAUUAAAACAAAAGUCGAGCUAUGGGUCUUUCGUGUCCGGGACCGGUAAGAACCUUCACCUUGCAUGUUAUGCAAAAGGGCACAGAAGCCCAGUGACUCUGUGCUGAAUCAGAGGGAAGAGCAUCACUCCCUGAAUCACCAAUCCCACUUCCCUGAAGCACCUGCCAGUUGCCCAGCCAUGUACUGAAUAAGCAUAGGCCUGGCUUAGCUUGUGAGAAGCACACUUCAAAGUGUGCGAGGCUGCAAAUAGGCAGCGGCGUGAUUUACCUCUACCUCCUGCCAUCUCAUCUCAUCUGGGACAUUUGAAAGGAACCCAUGCAGGAGUCAGCUGUUGCUGUUGGGAAAAGGGGUGCAAAAUCCUCUAAAGAAAUCAGAUGUGAACUGAGCAUGAGGAGCACUACGAACUGCAGGUAGCGACCCCAGUGAUGAACUGGAAGUGAACGCAUUUGCUUGUUAAGUUUACACGGCCACGUUCUGCUCCCUGGAGACUGGAUUUCCCCAGCCCUGCCGAGUGCAUCACAAAUUCUAUGCAAAUCAAGAAACCAGCAAUGGGAGAUCAGAGACAAAAAUCUAUAACCCAUCAUCCAAAGAAUGAGAAGGGUUUGUAGGAUUGAACCUUUGAUUUCUGAAGACUAGCCCUUUAGACAGAGGUCUACACCUGAGACAGCACAGAGCUAGCAGAGGCACGAGUCAUCAGAGGGGACUGAAUCCUAGAACUUCAGCACCAAGCUUUACUCAUUGUGUGAAAGGGCGACUCGGUCAGCAAGUAGCAGUAGUAGGCUCCUGUCCUCUAUGUGGACUAACCAGUAGAGAGAAAUACUGUGCACGGGAUGAGUAUUUGAUACGAUUACAAAGUUGUAAAAAUCACUUUUUAGGGCAUUGUAACUAGAGCUGUGUGAAAUAUUCACAACAAAACCUGAAACGUAACCGUUCUGCCAUAAAUUGGAAACUUGAACUUUGUCAAAAGAUUCAGGAGCCUUGCGCACAAUUUUGGACUCAAAGUUUGGCUAUCUGGAAUGAUUUCUACUUUUGUACUGAAAUCUGGCUCCUGUCUGAAUGUGAGUAUAAAGUGCAUAUGAAAAUAUUGCAGUGGAAGUUUUCAUGUUGGGUGCCAAGGUGCAUCUUUUCUGUAAUGUUUGGAGAAAUGACUAUAUUUUUAAAAAAUCAGAAUCAUGCAAAACUUCAAAUUUCCAUGUUGGAACAUACAAUUUUGGAAAAUCAUCCUUUUCUCAGGAGAUGCCCAUUCCAUCCUCGGGACUAAGCUCUGGAGUUCUCCCUGGAAAUGGGGCCCAG